CAACCCUUAAGCCUAGCUUAGUGUUGGGAAUCUGCUGUAUUGCAGUUCCUCAAAUACAACGGCGGAUCUGUAACAUCCUCUGAGCGUAGUAAAUUUUUAUCUCGCUUUUGUUAGGUGUUGCAGCUCUCAGCCGCUAAACCCCCCAAUUUUUGU
rnacentral:misc_RNA from 2 species